AAAUCUCAAGCUCCCAUCUAAUCUACCUGCUGAGAUUUUACAAAGUCUGCAGUGUUCAUAUCUUUGAAUCUAUUGAAGAGUGUAUUUGGGACACAUAUAAAUAAGAUAUCUUUCUAUGUUUAAAAUUACUCUUUGAGUUCUAUCCAGUUUCAGAUUUCACAUCUAGCACUGAAAAUAGAGAAAAAAACUAUUGUUUUGUUCUAAUUUUGUUCUUUAGUGUUUUCUACUUUUAAUAUUUAUCUUUUAUCAGUUUUAAUUCACUUGGUUUUCUUUUUGUUUUAUUUCUUCAUUUAAUUUCAAUUAUUUUUAUACUAAUAAAUAAAGUUAACACUACCUUGCAAAUGUUUGGGGUCUGUAAUUUUUUUUUUUUAAUUUUAUCCUCACCAAGGCUGCAUUAAUUUGGUCAAAUAUACAGUAAUUAACAUGUAUUAUGUUAUGUUGUAUUAUGUUAUACAAAAUACAGUUAAUACACAUAUCAUAUAUAUUAUGGAAUAUUAUUACAAUUUAAGAUAAAUGUUUUCAAUUUAUAUAUAUAUUUAUAUUUAAUUUAAUUUAAUUUAUCAUUUGAUUUAUCACCCCAGCUUAAAUGUCACAUGAUCCUUCAGAAAUCAUUAUAAUAGGCUGAUUUGGUGCUUAAAAACCUUUUUUUUUAUUCUGAAUGUUGAAACCAGUUGUGCUUCCUAAUAUUUUUGUGGAAACCAUUUUUUCUAUUCUGUGAUGAAUAGAAAGUUUAAAGGAACAGCAGUUAUUUUAAAUAAAAAAUCUUUUGUAACAUUAUAAACCCAUAAUUCAAGCCUUUCAGCUUUGACAGUGUCCAACAUGGGAUUUUCCAUGGCUAGCACUAGAAUGCUACAACCCAGCACUGCAGGCACUCUUAUUGGUUUUAGGAAAGCUGUCAUAUCUACUGGAGCAGAUUGUGGAUAUACACUGCUGUUCGAAAGAUUGGGAUCUUUAAGCAGUAGUGUAUACUUCUCUGAUAACAUAUCUGGAAAAACAUCCAGCUUGCUUUAA
rnacentral:lncRNA from 1 species